UUCAUGUGUGUUACUGGGACAGGCUGUGGAGGUGGAAGAGAGUGAUAUUGAUGAUCUUGACCCCGUGUAGGCCUAGGCUAAUGUGUGUGUUUGUGUCUUGGUUUUU